rnacentral:misc_RNA from 1 species
AGGUGAACCUGCGGAAGGAUCAUUAUUGAAUGGAUGUAGAGUUGGUUGUCGCUGGCCCUUUCGGGGGCAUGUGCACGCCUUCUCUUUCAUCCACACACACCUGUGCACUUGUGAGACGGAGGGACUUUAAUUAGUCUUCCGUCUACUUAAUUACACAAACUCAUUUAAUUAAAUUGAAUGUAAUUGAUGUAACGCAUCAUUAGAACUAAGUUUCAACAACGGAUCUCUUGGCUCUCG